GGUGAACGCUGGCGGCGUGCUUAAGACAUGCAAGUCGAACGCAGUCUUCGGACUGAGUGGCGCACGGGUGAGUAACACGUAACUGACCUACCCCCAAGUCGCGGAUAACUGGCCGAAAGGUCAGCUAAUACGUGAUGUGAUGUCCCCUUUCUGGGGGGCCAUUAAAGGUUUACUGCUUGGGGAUGGGGUUGCGUUCCAUCAGCUAGUUGGCGGGGGUAAAGGCCCACCAAGGCAACGACGGAUAGCCGGCCUGAGAGGGUGGCCGGCCACAGGGGCACUGAGACACGGGUCCCACUCCUACGGGAGGCAGCAGUUAGGAAUCUUCCACAAUGGGCGAAAGCCUGAUGGAGCGACGCCGCGUGAGGGAUGAAGGUUCUCGGAUCGUAAACCUCUGAAUCAGGGACGAAAGACGCGUAAGCGGGAUGACGGUACCUGAGUAAUAGCACCGGCUAACUCCGUGCCAGCCGCCGCCGUAACAC
rnacentral:rRNA from 1 species